AUAUUUUGCUUGAACUAGUGUAUCAUAGACGGGGCAAGAAAUCUCUCUGGGGGUUUUGUCAUUUACAUAAUUAGAAACAAAAAUAAAAUACAAAUAUCUGCUCCCUUACUACCUUUUCUUAAUAACUGACAAGUGACACAAGUGGUACCUUUUAAACAGAUGGGUGCAAAAACUUGUGAGAUCGAAUGAACUGAUGUACCCCAUUGGUAUUCUGGGAACCCAAAUUCCAUAAUUAACUUUUUACCCAAGUGGCAAAAGUAGAAGAUGUUCUAGUCACCAAAUUGAUUAUUUGAUGGACUUUUGUUCUUUCUUCCACAAGAUUUUGGCGACCCAGAAAGGGUAAAGAGAUGAUAAGAGAAGAUGCAUCCUGAACAACUUUUAUUGGUCGUGCUCUGUCACCGAGGCUGGAGUGCACUGGUGUUGUGAUCACAGCUCACUGCAACCUCAACCACCUGGACUCAAGGGAUCCUCCAGCUUCAGCAUCCCGAGUAGCUGGGUGUGACUACAGUGACGUAUGCCUUUUGGCCUGAGGACUCGUCCUUCCUCUGAAGACUAAUGUCUGCACAUCACCUUUUGGCAACCCCUCUGUGCCUUGCAGGACAGUUGUGUAGCAAAGAUUCUGUUUGGGUUGCUGUUUCCUCUGAGCCAGUCACACUGGUGCAUCAGGAGAUGCAGCUGCACCUUUUAAGAGCUCUGUGUCCUUAAGCAAGUCAUCUGUCCUUUUACAUUUCAUAGAUUUUUCAUUUGUAAAAUAUGAACAAUAUGUGCCUUACCAAUCUUACAAAUUGUUCUGAAGAUCAAAAUGGAUGAUGUAUCCAAAAUGCUUUGUAAACUAAGAAUCUCAUUUGGUUGGUGUUACUGAUGUUGUUAUUAUUUACUCUUUAGCAGGAGAGUAAAGAUAUAUAUAGAUAUAUUGGGUAUGGUAGCUUGAAUAUUUUUAGACAUCUAAGUUAUAUAUGCCUCCAAGGUUUUCCCCUGAAUUUACAUUAAUCCCUUUGUCAGAUUACAGCUAAGGUGGUAACUAAGGAUGUUAAUUUCCUUUAGGUCCCUAUAGGAUCUCUAUUUUGAUCAUGAUUAGUUUAUAAAUGAAAUAGACACUGCUGCAGAAUUUACAAUGUUUCCAUUCUGGCCAACUCAACUUUGAACAUAUUCCCUAAGUAAGAACAAAUUCAGUACUAUAAAACUGAAGAAAACAUAGCAUCCAAAGCUGGUAUUGAGGGAGUGAAAAUAUCUUCAAAGGCUAUUUCUUGAUUGCUUAAUAUAAAAAAUCUGCUUAGAAAUGUCCACUAGUUCAACAGGCAUUCCUGAAGGAAAUCUGCAACAAAGCUACUGUGCAUCAACAUUUAAAAGAACAAGCACAUGUAGUCUACCUCAAAACAAAUUAUUAUUGCUUGAAUUGCCCAAACUUUGUUUAAACAAAACUGAAUUUUGCGUAAGUUGAAUUCAUGUGAAGAGCUCAUAAUGUAUUGUUGCUAUUUAGAUAGUUGUCAUAGUAUGUGGUACUCAGUAAGUCCUCUAAAAUGGAAGGGAAAUUAACUAUGUGGUAUAAUUUCAACAUAAGUCUAAUAUAAUUGUGCAAAGAAUAUCUCUGAAUAUAUUGAACUGCUAUUUGAAUCUUUGUGUAUACAAUUCUAUCUUUUCUGCUAUGCAUCCUUAACUAGACUAUAUGCUGCCUGAGGACAAUUCCUGAUUUACACAUCUCCAAAUUUCCCGCUGCCUUCAGUACAGUGGUUUACAAGUAGCAUUUGCUUUCAAACUAUCUGCUGUUUAAUUAUAUUCACUUUUUAUUGGCUUUUCUUGGGGGGCAAUUUAUGCACAUAAAGUGUCCAUAGAUGAAUGCAUCAUUACCACUGAGGUGAAAGUUGUGAUUCUUAAAUUUUUUAAAACAACAUAUGCAUUGGGCCACUUAUUUUUCCUAUGUGACACUGAACCUAAUUAUAGAAGUGAAUAGAAAAACAUGAUUCUCUUUUAAAAGGCGCACUUUACGUGAAACAAUUUUAGGAAUUCAGCUUAUGUGUCAAGUACAGUCAUUCUGCACAAUGAUGGUGAUGGGGAGGCUCUACGUACUACGGUUUUGAUGGAAAAUAUUUUAAAUUAAAGCAAGCUACCCAUAAAAUUACAUAAACAUAAAUACGCACUCUCCCACAAACACAUUUGCACAUCUUUAAACUUAGAUUAAUGCAAAGAAAAGAUAUAUUCUUUUGUUCUAGUGGAAUAUAAAUGAUGAAGACUAAUAAAUGAAUAAAUAAAGCUCUAGGUAACCAAA